AGUCGAGCGAUCGAUGGGAGCUUGCUCCCUGAGAUUAGCGGCGGACGGGUGAGUAACACGUGGGCAACCUGCCUAUAAGACUGGGAUAACUUCGGGAAACCGGAGCUAAUACCGGAUACGUUCUUUUCUCGCAUGAGAGAAGAUGGAAAGACGGUUUACGCUGUCACUUAUAGAUGGGCCCGCGGCGCAUUAGCUAGUUGGUGAGGUAAUGGCUCACCAAGGCGACGAUGCGUAGCCGACCUGAGAGGGUGAUCGGCCACACUGGGACUGAGACACGGCCCAGACUCCUACGGGAGGCAGCAGUAGGGAAUCUUCCGCAAUGGACGAAAGUCUGACGGAGCAACGCCGCGUGAACGAAGAAGGCCUUCGGGUCGUAAAGUUCUGUUGUUAGGGAAGAACAAGUACCAGAGUAACUGCUGGUACCUUGACGGUACCUAACCAGAAAGCCACGGCUAACUACGUGCCAG
rnacentral:rRNA from 2 species